GAUGGUUCUCAGGUGACACAUCCUGGAAUCGGGCUCCCUCCUCUCUGGUUCCUGGGUGUAUCACGUGACAACCGCC
rfam:Myotis davidii contig314379, whole genome shotgun sequence.